UGUAGUGUCCUCGCAUGCUUUUGACGGGUAACGGGGAAUUAGGGUUCGACUCCGGAGAGGGAGCCUGAGAAACGGCUACCACAUCCAAGGAAGGCAGCAGGCGCGCAAAUUACCCAAUCCCAACAUGGGGAGGUAGUGACAAGAAAUACUGAUAUAGGGUCCUAUAGGAUCUUGUAAUUGGAAUGAGUACAAUUUAAACCCAUUAACGAGGAACAACUAGAGGGCAAGUCUGGUGCCAGCAGCCGCGGUAAUUCCAGCUCUAGUAGCAUACAUUAAAAUUGUUGCAGUUAAAACGCCCGUAGUUGAAGCUUAGGUCCUUAUCAUCUAGUCUGCCUCACCGCUAGCACUGGUAUGAUUGGGCCUUUUUUCUUGGUAAACUGUUAUGCCCUUUAUUGGGUGUGGCAGUGAACUAGGACUUUUACUUUGAAAAAAUUAGAGUGUUUAAAGCAGGCUUUUGCUCGAAUACCUUAGCAUGGAAUAAUGGAAUAUGACGAGUGGUUGUUUUUCAUUGGUUUUCACGACUACCGUAAUGAUUGAUAGGGAUGGUCGGGGGCAUCGGUAUUCGAUC
rnacentral:rRNA from 2 species